rnacentral:piRNA from 1 species
UUCAAAGAGGUAUUCCUGCCCCCCCCAGC